GUCUCCGUAGCUCAAUUGGAUAGAGCGUUGGCCUCCGGAGCCAAAGAUUGCGCGUUCAAGUCGCGCCGGAGACA
rnacentral:tRNA from 1 species